UCCCUGGUGGCUCAGAUGGUAAAGCGUCUGUCUACAAUGCAGAAGACCUGGAUUCAAUCCCUGGUUCGGGAA
rfam:TPA: Bos taurus chromosome 2, whole genome shotgun sequence.